rnacentral:lncRNA from 1 species
UCCAGCAAGUCUGAACUCUAGACUACAGCUUCUUUGCUGGCUCUUUCUUUAGUAGUUGCUGUUUAUCUCAUAUAAUGGAAACUAAGGAGCAAAUACAGUUGUUACUUUGAAUCUUACUUUCAGCUGGGGUGGAUGUUGUUGUGUCAUGAAAUCUUAGUAUAAUUUAAGUUUGAAUGGGCCACUGGAGGUUAUUUAGCCUAAACCUCAGCUUGAAGUGGAUCAUGUCUUUGCACUAUUAGAGAUGACUGAUAUCAGUGACACAGUGAAUAUAAAAUACUUCAUGAUAUGCAAGUAAUAAAAAGUCUAGAUAUAUUCUUAUCUAAGUCAGAGAAAAAAUAUUCCUUUUUAUUUAACCUCUGAAGAGAUGCUAGUGGAUAAAACUUAUGCCAAAUGUGAGAGUAUUUAGUGAAAACCAUAGGAAAUUAUGAAAAAUCUUUUUGUUUUUUUACUUUUUUUUUUUUCCUCAGAUUAAUCUUAGGGAUACUGAGGAAAUCUAGGAUAAAGGCCUUGCUUCUUUUAUGUCGAUAUUCAUGCCUUUCCAUUGUACAUACUACAGUUCAUCCAGAAGUGACAGCUUUCUUUCAUAAACCAUUGAGUGAAACACUAUUGACUUGGUAAAGAUUAUAAAACCAUUAUCUGAAGAGUCCCCCUGACCUUGAUUUCUGCUAAUCAUGUGUGUAAAAUCAGGCCAAAUACUCUUUGUAAGAAAACUGAAGAAUGGGGGAAUCUAUUUGAGUCACUAACUUCUCAGUCUGCAGUAAAAUAGUUAUAUAGACUUUUUU